rnacentral:rRNA from 1 species
CUGAGAAUGAUUCUUCGGAUGAAGUCUCUUGUGACUGAGUGGCGGACGGGUGAGUAACGCGUGGGUAACCUGCCUCACACAGGGGGAUAACAGUUGGAAACGACCGCUAAUACCGCAUAACCCGCUGGUGCCGCAUGGCACUGACGGAAAAGAUUUUAUCGGUGUGAGAUGGACCCGCGUCUGAUUAGCCAGUUGGCAGGGUAACGGCCUACCAAAGCGACGAUCAGUAGCCGGCCUGAGAGGGUGAACGGCCACAUUGGGACUGAGACACGGCCCAGACUCCUGCGGGAGGCAGCAGUGGGGAAUAUUGCACAAUGGGGGAAACCCUGAUGCAGCGACGCCGCGUGAGUGAAGAAGUAUUUCGGUAUGUAAAGCUCUAUCAGCAGGGAAGAUAAUGACGGUACCUGAUUAAGAAGCCCCGGCUAACUACGUGCCAGCAGCCGCGGUAAUACGUAGGGGGCAAGCGUUAUCCGGAUUUACUGGGUGUAAAGGGAGCGUAGACGGUGAUGCAAGUCAGAAGUGAAAGCCCGGGGCUCAACUCCGGGACUGCUUUUGAAACUGUGUGACUGGAGUGCAGGAGAGGUAAGCGGAAUUCCUGGUGUAGCGGUGAAAUGCGUAGAUAUCAGGAGGAACACCAGUGGCGAAGGCGGCUUACUGGACUGUAACUGACGUU